CCUACGGGUGGCAGCAGUGGGGAAUAUUGCACAAUGGGCGCAAGCCUGAUGCAGCCAUGCCGCGUGUGUGAAGAAGGCCUUCGGGUUGUAAAGCACUUUCAGCGGGGAGGAAGGCGGUGAGGUUAAUAACCUCAUCGAUUGACGUUACCCGCAGAAGAAGCACCGGCUAACUCCGUGCCAGCAGCCGCGGUAAUACGGAGGGUGCAAGCGUUAAUCGGAAUUACUGGGCGUAAAGCGCACGCAGGCGGUCUGUCAAGUCGGAUGUGAAAUCCCCGGGCUCAACCUGGGAACUGCAUUCGAAACUGGCAGGCUAGAGUCUUGUAGAGGGGGGUAGAAUUCCAGGUGUAGCGGUGAAAUGCGUAGAGAUCUGGAGGAAUACCGGUGGCGAAGGCGGCCCCCUGGACAAAGACUGACGCUCAGGUGCGAAAGCGUGGGGAGUAAACAGGAUUAGAUACCCGGGUAGUC
rnacentral:rRNA from 1 species